rnacentral:rRNA from 1 species
ACGCACGCUGGCGGCAGGCUUCAUCCCUGCCAGUCGCGCGGGCACUUCGGUGUCAGCGGCGCACGGGUGCGUAACGCGUGGGAACAUGCCUUUAGGUACGGAACAACCAAGGGAAACUUUGGCUAAUACCGUAUAAUAUCUCUGGAUCAAAGAUUUAUCGCCUAAAGAUUGGCCCGCGUUAGAUUAGGUAGUUGGUGGGGUAAUGGCCUACCAAGCCGACGAUCUAUAGGGGGUCUGAGAGGAUGAUCCCCCACACUGGAACUGAGACACGGUCCAGACUCCUACGGGAGGCAGCAGUAAGGAAUAUUGGACAAUGGGCGAAAGCCUGAUCCAGCCAUGCCGCGUGAGUGAUGAAGGCCUUAGGGUUGUAAAGCUCUUUUAGAUGGGAAGAUAAUGACUGUACCAUCAGAAUAAGCCCCGGCUAAAUUCGUG